GCCAUCAUAGCUCAGUGGCAGAGCACUGGUCUUGUAAACCAGGGGUCGAGUUCGAUCCUCACUGGUGGCU
rnacentral:tRNA from 1 species